rnacentral:rRNA from 1 species
UACGUAGGGGGCAAGCGUUGUCCGGAAUCAUUGGGCGUAAAGCGCGUGUAGGCGGUUCGAUAAGUCUGCUGUGAAAGUCCAGGGCUCAACCCUGGGAUGCCGGUGGAUACUGUCGGGCUAGAGUGCGGAAGAGGCGAGUGGAAUUCCUGGUGUAGCGGUGAAAUGCGCAGAUAUCAGGAGGAACACCAAUUGCGAAGGCAGCUCGCUGGGACGUUACUGACGCUGAGACGCGAAAGCGUGGGGAGCAAACAGG